GAUGAACGCUGGCGGCGUGCUUAACACAUGCAAGUCGAACGAUGAAGCCCAGCUUGCUGGGUGGAUUAGUGGCGAACGGGUGAGUAACACGUGAGUAACCUGCCCUUGACUCUAGGAUAAGCCCGGGCAACUGGGUCUAAUACUGGAUAGGAACGUCUACCGCAUGGUGGGUGUUGGAAAGAAUUUCGGUUAUGGAUGGACGCGCGGCCUAUCAGCUUGUUGGUGAGGUAAUGGCUCACCAAGCCGACGACGGGUAACCGGCCUGAGAGGGUGACCGGCGACACUGGGACUGAGACACGGACCAGACGCCUACGGGAGGCAGCAGUGGGGAAUAUGGCACAAUGGGCGAAAGCCUGAUGCAGCGACGCCGCGUGAGGGAUGACGGCCUUCGGGUUGUAAACCUCUUUCAGUAGGGAAGAAGCGAAAGUGACGGUACCUGCAGAAGAAGCACCGGCUAACUACGUG
rnacentral:rRNA from 1 species